rnacentral:rRNA from 1 species
UACAGAGGUCUCAAGCGUUGUUCGGAUUUACUGGGCGUAAAGGGUGCGUAGGCGGUUUUCCAAGUUUGGUGUGAAAUCUCCCGGCUCAACUGGGAGGGUGCGCCGAAAACUGGAGGGCUGGAGUACCGGAGAGGUAAGCGGAAUUCCUGGUGUAGCGGUGAAAUGCGUAGAGAUCAGGAGGAACGCCUGUGGUGUAGACAGCUUACUGGACGGUGACUGACGCUGAGGCACGAAAGCGUGGGUAUCAAACAGG